rnacentral:snRNA from 1 species
GUUCUCGCUUCGGCAGCACGUAUACUAAAAUUGGAAUGAUACAGAGAAGAUUAGCCUGGUCCCUGCUCAAGGAUGGCAUGCAAAUUCACGAAGCGUUCCAUAUUUUU